GACGAACGCUGGCGGCGUGCUUAACACAUGCAAGUCGAACGAUGAUGCUCCAGCUUGCUGGGGUGGAUUAGUGGCGAACGGGUGAGUAACACGUGAGUAACCUGCCCCCUUCUUCGGGAUAACCUUGGGAAACUGGGUCUAAUACUGGAUAUUCUGCAAUUGUCGCAUGGUGGUGGUGGGAAAGAUUUUUUGGUGGGGGAUGGGCUCGCGGCCUGUCAGCUUGUUGGUGGGGUGAUGGCCUACCAAGGCGUCGACGGGUUGCCGGCCUGAGAGGCCGACCGGGCACACUGGGACGGAGAUACGGCCCAGGCUCCGACGGGGGGCAGCAGUGGGGAAUAUUGCAGAAAGGGCGCAAGAGUGAUGCAGCGACGGCGCGUGAGGGAUGACGGCUGUCGGGUUGUAAACCUCUUUCGAUGGGGAACAAGGCCAUAAUUUUGUGUGGUUGAGGGUACCUGUAGAAGAAGCGCCGGCUAACUACGUG
rnacentral:rRNA from 1 species